AGUGAGGGGUGAGCUGAUGUUCCAAAAAUCCGGUCCUGAAUAACCUAAAAUGAGAGAGAAGCUGAGCAGAGCGAGUGGCCUGUGUGACCAUGGCCACACCUCCCCUUCCAGGCUCUGGGGAGGGUGGCAGCUGCAUCACCAGACCCCUGGGGUCAGAAGCUGAGUCUAGAGUAGGGGGCACUCCAUGAUGUUGCUCCAGAGGUGGGAGAUGGUGGCAGGGUCACUGCUUCCCCUUCCUUCCUCACUCAUGACAGAUGUCACUAAUGGGUCAUGACAUUCUUUCAGGACUCAGAAUCCCUCCCAACAUAGCAUCCCAGGCAGCCAUCGGCGGUCAACUGGCAUUGGUGCAUGCUUUGACAUCUAUUUGCCACAGCGGUCUUCUCUAAAGAUGGGGAAACUGAGGCCAAGAUUGGAGAAGAAACUUGCCCCAAAUCUCACAGCCAAGUCUCAGAUUCAUCCCAGGACCAUCUUCAAGGAAGGGGGGGGGGUUCCCCAAACACUGUGGCAGAGAAGUAUGGAGAGGUGACAGGGAUGAAGCAGGAGUCAAGAGCCAGGACCCCCAUCAGUGUCCACCAGGCCCUCCUUGGAAGAAGCCACAAGUAAGCAUCAGGACACCCUUCACCUCAUGAAAAGCCACAGCAGAAGCCAACCAGGCUGUCUGGCCCAGGCAGCUGCCCGGCACUUCGGAGAAACUGAGGCUCAAACCACUCCAGAGAUGACAAGUCCUGUCACCUUCAGGGAGGCGGAGGCCAAAGACAAAACUUGAAGGUCAGAGUCCAAGGCUGCCAAGCUUCGCCCCUGGGAAAUAAAACUUAUCAAAAAUGCUA
rnacentral:lncRNA from 1 species